rnacentral:rRNA from 1 species
GCAGCCGCGGUAAUACGUAGGUGGCAAGCGUUAUCCGGAUUUACUGGGUGUAAAGGGUGUGUAGGCGGAGAGGCAAGUCAGACGUGAAAACUACGGGCUCAACCCGUAACUUGCGUUUGAAACUGUUUCCCUUGAGUGUCGGAGAGGUAAAUGGAAUUCCCAGUGUAGCGGUGAAAUGCGUAGAUAUUGGGAGGAACACCGGUGGCGAAGGCGGUUUACUGGACGACAACUGACGCUGAGACACGAAAGUGUGGGGAGCAAACAGGAUUAGAUACCCC